rnacentral:rRNA from 1 species
AUUGAACGCUGGCGGCAGGCUUAACACAUGCAAGUCGAACGAGUGGCGGACGGGUGAGUAAUGUAUGGGAACCUGGCCAAUGGAGGGGGAUAACUACGGGAAACUGUAGCUAAUACCGCAUACCAUAGGAUGGGCCGAUGUGGGAUUAGGUAGUUGGUGGGGUAAAGGCUCACCAAGGCGACGAUCCCUAGCUGGUUUGAGAGGAGGACCAGCCACACUGGGACUGAGACACGGCCCAGACUCCUACGGGAGGCAGCAGUGGGGAAUAUUGGGCAAUGGGGGCAACCCUGAUGCAGCCAUGCCGCGUGAAUGAUGAAGGCCUUCGGGUUGUAAAGCACUUUUAGCGGGGAGGCGGUACUCGCAGAAGAAGCACCGGCUAACUACGUGCCAGCAGCCGCGGUAAUUC